rnacentral:rRNA from 1 species
CACGAAGGGGGCUAGCGUUGUUCGGAAUUACUGGGCGUAAAGGGCGCGUAGGCGGCCGAUUAAGUUAGAUGUGAAAGUCCUGGGCUCAACCUGGGGACUGCAUUUAAUACUGGUUGGCUUGAAUUCGGGAGAGGAUAGCGGAAUUCCCAGUGUAGAGGUGAAAUUCGUAGAUAUUGGGAAGAACACCGGUGGCGAAGGCGGGUCUCUGGGCAGUAACUGACGCUGAGGAGCGAAAGCGUGGGGAGCGAACAGG